rnacentral:rRNA from 1 species
UCCAGAGAUUUCCGAAUGGGGAAACCCAGCAUGAGUUAUGUCAUGUUAUCGAUAUGUGAAUACAUAGCAUAUCAGAAGGCACACCCGGAGAACUGAAACAUCUUAGUACCCGGAGGAAGAGAAAGAAAAUUCGAUUCCCUUAGUAGCGGCGAGCGAAAUGGGAAGAGCCCAAACCAACAAGCUUGCUUGUUGGGGUUGUAGGACACUCUAUACGGAGUUACAAAGGACGACAUUAGACGAAUCAUCUGGAAAGAUGAAUCAAAGAAGGUAAUAAUCCUGUAGUCGAAAAUGUUGUCUCUCUUGAGUGGAUCCUGAGUACGACGGAGCACGUGAAAUUCCGUCGGAAUCUGGGAGGACCAUCUCCUAAGGCUAAAUACUCUCUAGUGACCGAUAGUGAACCAGUACCGUGAGGGAAAGGUGAAAAGCACCCCGGAAGGGGAGUGAAAUAGAACCUGAAACCGUGUGCUUACAAGUAGUCAGAGCCCGUUAAUGGGUGAUGGCGUGCCUUUUGUAGAAUGAACCGGCGAGUUACGAUUUGAUGCAAGGUUAAGCAGUAAAUGUGGAGCCGUAGCGAAAGCGAGUCUGAAUAGGGCGUUUAGUAUUUGGUCGUAGACCCGAAACCAGGUGAUCUACCCUUGGUCAGGUUGAAGUUCAGGUAACACUGAAUGGAGGACCGAACCGACUUACGUUGAAAAGUGAGCGGAUGAACUGAGGGUAGCGGAGAAAUUCCAAUCGAACCUGGAGAUAGCUGGUUCUCUCCGAAAUAGCUUUAGGGCUAGCCUCAAGUGAUGAUUAUUGGAGGUAGAGCACUGUUUGGACGAGGGGCCCCUCUCGGGUUACCGAAUUCAGACAAACUCCGAAUGCCAAUUAAUUUAACUUGGGAGUCAGAACAUGGGUGAUAAGGUCCGUGUUCGAAAGGGAAACAGCCCAGACCACCAGCUAAGGUCCCAAAAUAUAUGUUAAGUGGAAAAGGAUGUGGCGUUGCCCAGACAACUAGGAUGUUGGCUUAGAAGCAGCCAUCAUUUAAAGAGUGCGUAAUAGCUCACUAGUCGAGUGACACUGCGCCGAAAAUGUACCGGGGCUAAACAUAUUACCGAAGCUGUGGAUUGUCCUUUGGACAAUGGUAGGAGAGCGUUCUAAGGGCGUUGAAGCAUGAUCGUAAGGACAUGUGGAGCGCUUAGAAGUGAGAAUGCCGGUGUGAGUAGCGAAAGACGGGUGAGAAUCCCGUCCACCGAUUGACUAAGGUUUCCAGAGGAAGGCUCGUCCGCUCUGGGUUAGUCGGGUCCUAAGCUGAGGCCGACAGGCGUAGGCGAUGGAUAACAGGUUGAUAUUCCUGUACCACCUAUAAUCGUUUUA